GUUUUAAUAAUUUAAAUAAAAUAUUGAUUUUGUAAAUCAAAAAUAUGGAUUCAUUUAAAACU
rnacentral:tRNA from 1 species